rnacentral:rRNA from 1 species
GUGGGGAAUAUUGGACAAUGGGCGAAAGCCUGAUCCAGCCAUGCCGCGUGUGUGAAGAAGGUCUUCGGAUUGUAAAGCACUUUAAGUUGGGAGGAAGGGCAGUAAGUUAAUACCUUGCUGUUUUGACGUUACCGACAGAAUAAGCACCGGCUAACUUCGUGCCAGCAGCCGCGGUAAUACGUAGGGUGCAAGCGUUAAUCGGAAUUACUGGGCGUACAGCGCGCGUAGGUGGUUUUGUAAGUUGGAGGUGAAAUCCCCGGGCUCAACCUGGGAACUGCCUCCAAAACUGCAUGACUAGAGUACGGUAGAGGGUAGUGGAAUUUCCUGUGUAGCGGUGAAAUGCGUAGAUAUAGGAAGGAACACCAGUGGCGAAGGCGACUACCUGGACUGAUACUGACACUGAGGUGCGAAAGCGUGGGGAGCAAACAGGAUUAGAAACCCGGGUAGUCC